ensembl:lncRNA
CAGUGCUGAGCUCUUAGACAUCGAAGUCAUCUGUCCCCUGGAGGCCAGAUCAUUCAUUCAUUCAUUCUGUUACUGGUUUCACUUUCAAACUCCCUGGAUGAAAAUCACACUAAAAUCCAUCCAUAGUAUAGUUUCCAUCAUUUAUGUACUGUUACUUCUGUCAUCUAUGUAUUCCACAAAGGGUAUUUAAUGAUGUAAUACAAAAAUACUUUCUUUUCUCCUUCAGAGCCUCUCUCCCUCACCCCUCCUUUUCUGAAAGUGCAGUGUCAACUUCCGCCUGCUGCUGCUGCAACGGACAGCUGCUAUUUCAAAUUCAAAUCUCCUCCCUAUCUAUUACGAUUCCUCAUCUUCUACUCUUGUACGCUUUACAUGGUUGGAUAUCUGCUUGUAUUUAUAGAGAAAGAAAGCUUUUGUAAUUUGUUGCAUAAAUAUCGUGAGAGGUUGUAGAUGAAGUCCCUCCAAAAUUGUCACAUGCUCCUCUUCACAACACUGAAUCAGUUUGACUAACUGAAUCAACCCCCCUCUAGUGAGAGAUGUCUGCCAACAGUAUCUGCUCAAGAGAGUGGUGUACCAGCCCGUAACACAGAACUACAUAGGGCAUAUCCUGGAUGGCUAGUGCGGAAGACUCAUGUGUGUAUCUGUCCUUCACAUGACCAUAUGUUAUCAAAAUGAAUUUGAGGAUGGUACCUAAACUAUUUGCCUAUAAAACCAUAUCUCAAAAAGUGUGAAAUUGUUGCAUAGUGUUACUUCAACUAUGGUACUAGGUUGGAGAAGAAAACACACCUACCGUGUGUCGAGUCAUUGUAAUUUCUUAUGGCCAUCAAUGUCAAAAAUGACAUGACAAAGCUUGCAUUCCUAACAAAAAACAAUUCCUCUUCCUGCUUGUCGUUAUGGCCAUCUUACCACUAUGUAUAGCUGCUCAAGGUCAUGGCAAGUUGGACAUAUUUUUGGAACUUUCUAAAUCCAAAGUGAUUUGCGGUACAGGUAUUGUAUGCUUUAAUGUUCAUGUGUGCCUUGUCAUAUUCAUAGACCCCAGACCCCAGAUGUUAGCACCUUACUCUGUUGAGCAACAAGUUAAUGAUAUAAUAUACCAUCAUAUCAACUGCUGUAUAAAGUAAUAACAAUAGAAUGAUAAGGAAAAAGACUCAUCUCACGAAUGAGAUGAUUUUAUGGCUGCUAUGGUAAGCCAUAACAAAUAGAAAUGUUCCAUGAUCAGUGGAUUAUCUAAAGAUGUUCUGAUUUUAUGGGGAUAUCUGGGGAAAAGACCACGAUCACUAACAGUCCUGAAUGCACAGCAGUUAGUCAUGCUUCAUUGUGUGUAUCUAUGAAUGUGCACCAGCAGGGCCAGCAGCAAAGACCAGAGAGACCUAUCCAGUAAUCAGAGUCUCGAGCAGAGCCGUAAACUCAUCCUACAGUCGGCCGAGGAGCUCAAGAGAGUGGACUCGAGCUGUGGCCUGAUGAGAGAGGAGCUUCUCCAGACUCUGAGGAACCUGGAACUGCGGAAGAAGAAACUGAAGACCCUGCUGCCCUUCCUGGAAUUCCUCACCUGGUCACUGCUGAAAGAGGACAGCAAGGUGUCUCAGAUGUGGCUUGCCACCAAACAGCUCACCUGGAAGACAGACGAACCUAAGUACAUCCCAAAUUCAGAUGUUGACAAGAAGAGAGUGAAAGACUUGGAACCCGAACGUCCAGAUAUAAACGUUCAGCAGCAGACCACUGAUAGCACCCGGAGCUUCUCGUCAAACCUCUAGGCUAUGCUAAGCAGAGUUGGUUAGCUGGUUAUUCAGUUAGUAAUGCGUUUUUUUGUUUCCCCUGUCUUGUUAUUCCAAAGUCCUGGGUCUGAAACACUCCGGAUUACAACGGGAAUGAGGGAUCUAAAGCACUUUACUUAAAAAUGUAAAAGCAUGAAUCUGGCCUUAGCCAUCUAAAUAACAGCCUGAAGCUAAACCUCUUUGGAAGACUGAGUAUUGCAGAGCAGUUGGACGAGGGGUACCGAAUUGGCAUUCGAAAACAUGUAAUAUCAUCCAGUGUUUCUGAAUCUAUUCUGCUCUAAACCUCUAGUAUCAUCCAGUGUUUCUGAAUCAAUUCUGCUCUAAACCUCUAGUACCAUCCAGUCUUUCUCACUCUAUUCUGCUCUAAACCUCUACACCCUGUUUUUUUAAUCUACCCUGUUUUAAACUUCUUGUACACACAUGAAUGUUUCAGAAUGUAUUCUGCUCUAAACCUCUAGUAUCCAAUGUUUCUGAAUCUAGUCUACUAUAAACCUCUACUACCCAAUGUUUAAACCUCUGGAACCCAACCCAAUGUUUCUUAAACCAUUCUGCUCUAAACCUCUCAUGCCCAAUUUUACAGUUUGUUGAGAAUUGUUAAUGGUCAGUGUUGAGCACUGUGUUUUCAUGAAAUAAAUCUUUGUUUUUUAAUAUAUUCUACUCAAAAUCUCUCGUGUUUUUUUUUCUCAUUGUGGAGUGCUAU